rnacentral:rRNA from 1 species
AGAGUUUGAUCCUGGCUCAGGACGAACGCUGACGGNGUGCUUUAGACAUGCAAGUCGAACGAGAAAGCCCUUCGGGGUGAGUACAGNGGCGAACGGGUGAGUAACACGUGGGUAACCUGCCCCUCGCAGGGGGACAACCGGGGGAAACUCCGGCUAAUACCCCGUACGCUUGCCGGGCCGCAUGGCAUCGGCAAGGAAAGGUAGCUUCGGCCAUCCGGCGAGGGAUGGGCCCGCGGUCCAUUAGCUAGUUGGUGGGGUAACGGCCCACCAAGGCGACGAUGGAUAGCUGGUCUGAGAGGAUGAUCAGCCACACUGGGACUGAGACACGGCCCAGACUCCUACGGGAGGCAGCAGUCGGGAAUCUUGCGCAAUGGGCGAAAGCCUGACGCAGCAACACCGUGUGGGCGACGAAGGCCUUCGGGUCGUAAAGCCCUGUUGUUGGGGACGAAGGACGAAGGGUUAAUAGCCCCUAGUCUGACGGUACCCUUCGAGGAAGCCCCGGCUAACUACGUGCCAGCAGCCGCGGUAAUACGUAGGGGGCGAGCGUUGUCCGGAAUUAUUGGGCGUAAAGAGCGUGUAGGCGGUUCGGUAAGUCUGCUGUGAAAUCCUGGGGCUCAACCCCGGGCGUGCAGCGGAUACUGCCGGGCUAGAGGGUGGUAGAGGCGAGUGGAAUUCCCGGUGUAGCGGUGAAAUGCGCAGAUAUCGGGAGGAACACCAGUAGCGAAGGCGGCUCGCUGGGCCAUUCCUGACGCUGAGACGCGAAAGCAUGGGGAGCGAACAGGAUUAGAUACCCCUGUAGUCC